rnacentral:rRNA from 1 species
GUGCCACCGCCGCGGUAAUACGGAGGGUGCAAGCGUUAAUCGGAAUUACUGGGCGUAAAGCGCACGCAGGCGGUUGAUUAAGUCAGAUGUGAAAUCCCCGGGCUCAACCCGGGAACUGCAUCUGAUACUGGUCAGCUUGAGUCUCGUAGAGGGAGGUAGAAUUCCAGGUGUAGCGGUGAAAUGCGUAGAGAUCUGGAGGAUACCGGUGGCGAAGGCGGCUCCUGGACGAAGACUGACGCUCAGGUGCGAAAGCGUGGGGAGCAAACAGGAUUAGAUACCCUGGUAGUCCACGCUGUAAACGAUGUCGAUUUGGAGGUUGUGCCCAUGAGGCGUGGCUUCCGGAGCUAACGCGUUAAAUCGACCGCCUGGGGAUACGGCCGCAAGGUUAAAACUCAAAUGAAUUGACGGGGCCCGCACAAGCGGUGGAGCAUGUGGUUUAAUUCGAUGCAACGCGAAGAACCUUACCUAGGUCUUGACAUCCACAGAAGUUUUCCAGAGAUGGGAAUGUGCCUUAGGGAACUGUAGAG